rnacentral:tRNA from 1 species
GCCCGCGGCAUUUAGUAAUUUUAAUUUGAAAUUAAAAAAUUUGAUUUGGUGAUCAACUCGGGCU